GAGGAGACUCGCGAGCUUCGUUUCGAGCGCCCCUUUUCCACAAUGGCGGCCAAGGGCUCAAGCCAAGCAGGAACAGUUAUAUCAGCUCAUUCACUAAGAGGAUACCUACUGCUGUACAAUUGGUGAAGCUGUAUUCGACUACUGAUACACAAAACUCAUUGGAAUUUCCUAGAGAUGAAAUUGAUGUUGUUUCAGUGUUGAAAGCUUCCCUGCCAAAUACUGUAGAAGCUGAUGAUGAAUUUGAUGAAUUGGGUCCUUCAGUUUCUGGAGGCAGUGACUCAAACUCUGUUUUGGCAAAGAACCCUAAGGAUAAAGAUUAUCUAGGAUAUUUUUGAAAAAAGGGUCUCAACAGGCCCCAAAAGCUUGUCCGUCGCAAGCUUCUCCCAUGAUGCCGAUUGUUACCAGGGUCCCUUCUGAGCAGGAGAAGUGCCAGCUCAAUACUCACUCCAACUUGGAAGGCCAAAGUCAUGCUUUAAGAAGCAAGACUUAAUCACACGAACCAUCUGUAUCCAUUGCAAUUGAUAAUAUACCCCGGAACAUCAGCCCUCUGGAACUGGAGGAGGCAAUUUCAAUCUAUGGAGAGGUCCAAGGUAUCUCUCUGAGAUCAGGAGAUGGUGGAGUCUGUAGCUGUCAUGUCAAAUUUAAGAGUGUGAGAGCAAAGAAGAAGGCACUUGCAGCUAGAUGUAUUACUGUGAAGAAUUCUCAGCUUCUGAUCCGCAAUCUUCACAACAGCUCGGAUUACAUUUCGCGCAUCUCGAUUAGGAUAGCUAAUAUUAGCAAGAAGAUGACUGAGGUGGCUAUACACUCAAUAUGCAUGUCAUAUGGAGACGUGAUUGCCCUUGCAAGGAGCAAAGAGGGUGCAAUUGAUGUGAUGUUCAGAGUUUUAGGAUGCUCAUGUUUCACAGCGCAUAGUGAAGUAUUUGAACGAUGUUGUGAUUGAUGAGCGCCGAUGGUCAGCUAAGCUGCUAACAGAGCUUGAUCAAGCCAACACAGCAAGUUCCUCUGAUUCUCAUCAGCCAGUUGGUUCACAAAUUAACAGUCACUUGGAAAGCUUGAGGA